UUGAAAGGGAAACGAUUGAAGUCAGUCAUACCAACGGGAAAUCAACCUUUUGAGCUUGGUCUCGUGGGUUUUGAAGAGUUUCAAAGCCUUCGGAUUCGCGAGUUUGGGAUCUCUUGGUGUACUUUUUCGUACGGUUAGUCAACAUCGGUUUUGAAUGUCAUAAAAUGACUGGAGGAAUGUAGCUCCGAUCUCGUAUUGAAGUGUUAUAGCCUUUGGUAGAUGUGAUGUUUGAGACCGAGGAUUGCAACGGAUACCCUUCAGGGCUAUUCGUCUGAUCUCUGAUACGUUGCCUUGAUGUUGAAAGCUUGCUUAUGAUGUUAGGGUAUUACGGUCAAAAGGUUAGAACGAAUUACAUUCGUUAAGGAUGUUGACGUA
rnacentral:rRNA from 1 species